rnacentral:lncRNA from 1 species
GAACAGAUUAUUAGUUCAGUAAAUACCUCCCCCUCCCCCUCUUCGCUAAACCUGCCAUAACCUUUACUUUUACCGAGACACCACAAUUCAUUUCUCACUACCACAACCUCUCCCUCUUCUCCGCCAUAGUUCCACCACUUCCACGCCCUCGUCACAGCCCCAAAAACUCUCCUCCAUAAACGCCGCCCUCCUUACAAUCGUGACACUAGUUUCCUCGACCAACCCCACCACUUGAGAACUGUCUGCCACCAUCAAAACCAACAGCGAUGGCCGCCCAACUUCAAUAAUUUCACCACACUUACUGUCAGACUCAUGCAAUCUAUCCUAAAGCCAUCAAUUCAUCCCGCGAAAUCGUCGUCGGUAGAUCUAUUUGAGGUUUCUUCGCUAGAAAUCGGUGGCUGAGGGAGAACAAGAGGAAGUUAUAAAUUUUUAAGGUUUCUUCCUUAAUCAUCUUUUUUAGCUUAUUAAUUUCUUGCUGAGUCCAUUAUUUUCUUUCAAUUGAAGCUUUGAAUUUAAAUUGGGGAUCUCUUGAGGUAUCUUAUAUUAUAGUUCCUUCCCUUUGCUCUUGAUUUUUUUUAAAGAAAAUAGAAUAUUUAAUAUUUCUAUCUAAUUUUCGUUUAUAUCUUUAUAGUUGUUUGUAAGAAGGAUGCACUGAUUAUGUUUUCUGUGUUGUUUAUAGUUAUAAGUUUUGCCCAAUUACAAGUCCCAGCUUAGGUUUUGCUUUGCCUCUCACCUUUGGUGGUUUACUAGGGCUGCUAUAUCUAUGCUUGAGCAGGUACAAUUUGGUCUGCACUCCAAAAAUAGUUUGAAUUUUGAUACUAUGAAAACAACUAAUUAUCUUUUGGUAGUGGCCAUCUUCUGUUUUAUAAUAUUCAUAUGAGGACUUUGUAUGUCUAUAAAUGUGUUACUUUGAUCUAAUAGUUGUUGAAACAUUUUUUUUCUUUAGUUCCUCUCGCUUAAGCAUUAAAGUUUAAAGUUUUUCUGUUUAAAUAUCAUGUAUUAGCUUGAGAGUAUAUAUAUAUAUAUAUAUAUAUAUAUACACACACACACACUUGAAGAUUGUAUACCUUGUAAUGCUUAGUGAAUAAUAAUCAAACUGUAAUCAUAUUUUUGACUCUUUCCUUCAAUAUAUUUCUAAUAUUGAUUACAUGGUGUCAAUCUGUUGUGACUAGAAAAGUUCAAGAAACGAAACUUUAAAAACAUAUCUAAUGCUUUUGUUCGUUGUAAUACUUUGGUAUUGUUCAAUAUUCGAUACUUCUUUAUUUUCAUUUGUUUGUACCUUUGUGUUGUCUAUGCUCCAAGGUUUAGACCUAUCGUAACAUGUGUUUUAAUGACAUGUUACUUGAUAAAGAACUAAUACCAAUGCUAGUAUCUUGUAACAAUCUGAAUGGAUGGAAGUAAGUUAUUGCAACUGGUUGACCAAUUUAGCCAUGGUUUCAUGAUUUCAUCGGCCAAGUGUUAGACAUAGUUUAUGUAAUGCACUUUUGUGGGAUUGAGGCACAAACUAUUUGUAUUAUGAAGAACUAUAUAUUAUUUCUGGAGAUUGUUUUCCCAAUGUAAUUGGAGAUUGCUGUUUUAACCUGUAGAAGAAUAGAAAAUAUUUAACUACUGGAGGUCCCUCUUCAUCUAUUUUUAUUGUGAAGAACAAAAUAUAUUUUCUGAAAGCGAAAACGACAAUUUGAUCUUGUUUGUCAAUUUCUUAAUUUAUGUUUAAUUGUUAUGAUUUAAUAGAAUUUGAAGAUUGCGUACCUUGAAGUGAUUUCGAUCUUAAACCAUUUUUUUGGAAUUUGUGGAGUGAACAUCUUAAAACUGUGGUUUCGAUCUUAAUAGCAACCUCUUAGAUCUGUGAGUGCAUUUGUGGAUGCAGGGAAGUGAAAUAGUUGUCGAAAAAGUUCCCUUUCUCCAAAUCUUUUCUUAACUAAGAUAUAAAGUUGAAUAGCUUUCACCGUGAUGUAAUUUACUUAUAAUAUUUUCAUUUGCCUGUAACUCCGUUGGCUGCCAGUAGCAAUUGCUAAUUCAAUUGUUAUAUUUUCAUUUUGUUAGGUUUGCAAUUGGCUUUAUCUCCGACUAUGGCCUUCUUGAAGGUAUACCCAUUUUCUUAAUCUUCUUACCCUUUUAUUCCUUUACAUUUCUUUUUCCACUUACGCGAGCUUGAAAUUAAGACUGAGGUAGUGAUCAUUAUUGAAGGUGACUGUUAAGCCUUCAAACAUCAACUAUGAAAGUGGUAAAAUUAGCUAAAUUAUUAUCUUUCUUUGACAUCUUGAUGUGUUUGGUCAUAUUGCUACGCUCCUUGUACUACCACAAGUUUUCUUCCAAUCUAAGAUAAUACAAAGUUCAUCUCUGUUUGGACUUUGCCUAAAUUCCUUGAGAUUCUUCUUUAUCAUAGUUGGUACUUGUGAUGAGGACGUACAAUGCAGUUAACACGCUUUUGAAUCAUAAUGUUUUUGCAUAAUCCUUUAUUCUUGUUGUGCUGAAUCUGACAGUUCUUUUUGCAAUCUAUUUCUUGAUGUCACAACUAUAGUUUUUAGUUUCUAAUUUUAUCUUUACCUUUCUUUUGACUGGGCAUUCAACUAUGUCAAAAUUUCAGUUUGGAUUGUUAGUAGUAUGUACUUCAACAUUUAGACGAUUAUGCUUCCAAGUGAAUAAUAAAUUAUAUUGAGAAAUUGAGCUUCUUGUUAGUACUUUUUCAGGUGAAAAACUUUGAACUUAGCUCCAUUUAUCAAUAUAGCAGUUUAAAUAUUUCUGGGUUGGACUGGUCAAUUGGAUGAUGGACCAUAUGUUAGAAAAAGCUGUCAAAUUAUAUGGCCUUCUGUGCGUGUAGAAAUUCACCAUCAUCUUGUUGUAGCAAAUCAUUCUAUGUUAUAUUACUUAUGCUUUGGUAGUUUUAUACCUCUUUCCAUCAUUUCAAGUAACAAUUAGAGAAGAAAACUUGAGCACAAUUUGCAUAAUGAAUUCUUUUGUUGCAUAAAAAAUAAUGCUUGGUUGAGUACUUAAACUAUUCCCUAUUCCACAAUAGCAACGCUUAUCUAGGACCUCACUAUUUUAUAUCUUAGCUUUCAGCUUACUUUAUUUUUUGACUUUUUUUAAUUAAUUCAUGUAAUUCCAAAUCUGACAAAGAUUGAUUUUUUUAAUGGUUUUAUAGGUGAAGCAAAUGAACAAGGAUAGAUGAAAGUUGUGAAGAUCUUACUCAAGAGUAUUGGUUGAUUGUUGUUAGACUUUUAGAUGUUCUAGAAUCUUUUAUUUUAGAAACUUUUGUCAACUUAUGUAUUAACUCUUGAAUUGCCUAACGACAUUGUAUAUUUAGCUUUUAUAUAUAGAUAAUACUAGUUGGAUAUUUUAGAUAUAAUUUUAUAUAUUGAUGAGCAGUUUCCUUUUGAGAUUUACAUAAUUUAUUAUAUAGGUAAAUAAAUGUGGUAU